GGGUUGUGAGGUUAAGCGACUAAGCGUACACGGUGGAUGCCCUGGCAGUCAGAGGCGAUGAAGGGCGUGCUAAUCUGCGAUAAGCGCCGGUAAGGUGAUAUGAACCGUUAUAACCGGCGAUACCCGAAUGGGGAAACCCAGUGUGACUCGUCACACUAUCAUUAACUGAAUCCAUAGGUUAAUGAGGCGAACCGGGGGAACUGAAACAUCUAAGUACCCCGAGGAAAAGAAAUCAACCGAGAUUCCCCCAGUAGCGGCGAGCGAACGGGGAGGAGCCCAGAGCCUGAAUCAGCAUGUGUGUUAGUGGAAGCGUCUGGAAAGGCGCGCGAUACAGGGUGACAGCCCCGUACACAAAAGCGCAUGUGCUGUGAGCUCGAUGAGUAGGGCGGGACACGUGGUAUCCUGUCUGAAUAUGGGGGGACCAUCCUCCAAGGCUAAAUACUCCUGACUGACCGAUAGUGAACCAGUACCGUGAGGGAAAGGCGAAAAGAACCCCGGCGAGGGGAGUGAAAAAGAACCUGAAACCGUGUACGUACAAGCAGUGGGAGCACAGGUUUACCUGUGUGACUGCGUACCUUUUGUAUAAUGGGUCAGCGACUUAUAUUCUGUAGCAAGGUUAACCGAAUAGGGGAGCCGUAGGGAAACCGAGUCUUAACCGGGCGUUAAGUUGCAGGGUAUAGACCCGAAACCCGGUGAUCUAGCCAUGGGCAGGUUGAAGGUUGGGUAACACUAACUGGAGGACCGAACCGACUAAUGUUGAAAAAUUAGCGGAUGACCUGUGGCUGGGGGUGAAAGGCCAAUCAAACCGGGAGAUAGCUGGUUCUCCCCGAAAGCUAUUUAGGUAGC
rnacentral:rRNA from 1 species